rnacentral:rRNA from 1 species
UGGGGAAUUUUGGACAAUGGGCGCAAGCCUGAUCCAGCCAUGCCGCGUGAGUGAAGAAGGCCUUCGGGUUGUAAAGCUCUUUCAGCUGGAAAGAAAUCGCAUUGAUUAAUACUCAGUGCGGAUGACGGUACCAGCAGAAGAAGCACCGGCUAACUACGUGCCAGCAGCCGCGGUAAUACGUAGGGUGCGAGCGUUAAUCGGAAUUACUGGGCGUAAAGCGUGCGCAGGCGGCUUUUUAAGCCAGAUGUGAAAUCCCCGGGCUUAACCUGGGAACUGCAUUUGGAACUGGAAGGCUAGAGUGUAGCAGAGGGGGGUAGAAUUCCACGUGUAGCAGUGAAAUGCGUAGAGAUGUGGAGGAAUACCGAUGGCGAAGGCAGCCCCCUGGGCUAACACUGACGCUCAUGCACGAAAGCGUGGGGAGCAAACAGGAUUAGAUACCCUGGUAGUCCACGCCCUAAACGAUGUCAACUAGGUGUUGGGGAAGGAGACUUCUUUAGUACCGCAGCUAACGCGUGAAGUUGACCGCCUGGGGAGUACGGUCGCAAGAUUA